AUUAUCUUCAUGGCCCUCACCCGCCGCUCAGGGUGGGGGAGGGGGGAGGACAAUAGGUCCGCCCCCCCUUAUUGUAAUUUAAGUCUGUUUUUUUCAACAGUGAGCAGCCAUAGGCCAUAGGCUGUUUAGUAGACAUGCCCCUACUCGCGGUAUAGCGAGUAGGGGCAUUUGGGAGAUUUUAAUCUCCCUUGUGCUAUUAUGGGGGUCAUAUUGACUCCCAUAGAGUGAGAGGGGGUACUGGG